UACGUAGGCAGCGAGCGUUUGUUCGGAGUUACUGGGCGUAAAGGGUGUGUAGGCGGUUAUUUAAGUUUGGUGUGAAAUCUCCCGGCUCAACCGGGAGGGUGCGCCGAAUACUGAAUGACUAGAGUGCGGGAGAGGUGAGUGGAAUUCCUGGUGUAGCGGUGAAAUGCGCAGAUAUCAGGAGGAACACCCGUAGCGAAGGCGGCACUCUGGGCCGGUACUGACGCUGAGGAGCGAAAGCGUGGGGAGCAAACAGG
rnacentral:rRNA from 1 species